UAAGCAUAUCAAUAAGCGGAGGAAAAGAAACUAACAAGGAUUCCCCUAGUAACUGCGAGUGAAGCGGGAAAAGCUCAAAUUUAAAAUCUGGCAGUCUUUGACUGUCCGAGUUGUAAUCUAGAGAAGUGUUAUCCGCGCUGGACCGUGUACAAGUCUCCUGGAAUGGAGCGUCAUAGAGGGUGAGAAUCCCGUCUUUGACACGGACUGCCAGGGCUUUGUGAUGCGCUCUCAAAGAGUCGAGUUGUUUGGGAAUGCAGCUCAAAAUGGGUGGUAAAUUCCAUCUAAAGCUAAAUAUUGGCGAGAGACCGAUAGCGAACAAGUACCGUGAGGGAAAGAUGAAAAGAACUUUGGAAAGAGAGUUAAACAGUACGUGAAAUUGCUGAAAGGGAAACGCUUGAAGUCAGUCGCGUUGUCCAGGGAUCAACCUUGCUUUUGCUUGGUGCACUUUCUGGUUGACGGGUCAGCAUCAAUUUUGACCAUUGGAAAAAGAUUAGGGGAAUGUGGCAUCUUCGGAUGUGUUAUAGCCCUUGGUUGCAUACAGUGGUUGGGAUUGAGGAACUCAGCACGCCGCAAGGCCGGGUCUUGUACCACGUACGUGCUUAGGAUGCUGGCAUAAUGGCUUUAAUCGACCCGUCUUGAAACACGGACCAAGGAGUCUAACAUGCCUGCGAGUGUUUGGGUGGAAAACCCGAACGCGCAAUGAAAGUGAAAGUUGAGAUCCCUGUCGUGGGGAGCAUCGACGCCCGGACCAGACCUUUUGUGACGGUUCCGCGGUAGAGCAUGUAUGUUGGGACCCGAAAGAUGGUGAACUAUGCCUGAAUAGGGUGAAGCCAGAGGAAACUCUGGUGGAGGCUCGUAGCGAUUCUGACGUGCAAAUCGAUCGUCAAAUUUGGGUAUAGGGGCGAAAGACUAAUCGAACCAUCUAGUAAGCUGGUUCCUGCCGA
rnacentral:rRNA from 2 species